CAUCCCUGUGGGCAGAAAUGGGCAAAAGAGGCCACCGACUUAGCUCAUUUAUCUCUAGCAUCUUUAACAGGUGCCAAGCAUCCUCCAUGCCGCCAUUUUUGCUGCCAACUAACUUUAAGAGCAAGCAUGGCCAAAAAGGGAGUGUGGCUGGGAGGCGGUCAGAUCAUAGAGAAGAGCAGCUGUGGCAGGGUGUGGGAAACGUAGCAGGAAAGGCAGCCCCUCUUACCUUUCUUCAUGCAGCAAACACUUAUUAAGCACCAACAGUGUGCUAGGCAGCACAUCAUGGGCACCAUCCACUUUAUUCCUGAGCGGCACCUGCCACACCAGGAGCUGGCCUUUGUUACUUUUUGCCUGGACUGUGAACCUCUAACACCUCCUGACUUUCUCUGUCCCCCUGCUCCCGCUCUCAAAAAACAGCCAUUCUGACCCACUGCUGCCGACUUAUUUCCCACUUUUGAAGGGACCAGAUGCCGCCCUCCAGGACCGCCGACCACUAGCGUGGGGGAGGUGUGCAUGAAACGACCAACACGCAGACAGAGCUCAGAAUCAUAAGUGAGACCCCCAGCCACGUAGGCUUUCCAGACACUCCCCAGGGAAUCCUGACAAAACCGCCAGGCUGGAAGGAGACGUGCCAAACGCUGCUGACCUUAACCAGUUGGAUGCCUGAUCCUCUUCUACGGGGAAGCUUCUGGAAAAGCCUUCAUCUGAAAUGCACCAAGUCCUGAAAAUCUCCGGACACGUGGGCAUGUUUCGUUUAGGGAUUUUUAUGGAGAUGGACAGGUGGGAAGCAAGCCGCCUCUGCAACAGCCUUGAAAGAUGAGACGCGGAAGGGACUUCGAAGAGUCGCUGAAGAUGCCGCGCCCACCCUCCGGCCCUCCCUGCCCGGGGGCUACCGAGGAGCUCGAGGCUGGCGCUGCGCCAGCCAGGGAAGAGGAGGGGUUGUCUCCGCCGUUCUCUUCCGAGUGCCCGAGGUGGGGGGUCUAAGACCACUGCUUUCCCAACUCUGCCUCGGGGUGCGGGGAGAGGGGCGCAGACGCGGGUCUGAGGGUCAGUGGGGGCCUCCAGGCGUGGGCAGCACCUCCGCAGGCGGCUGAGACGGAGGAGGGCCCGGGGCCCGCCCUCCCUUCCUGUCCCCUCCCGACUUCUCCGCCAGGCCGCAGAUCUACCGGAGGGCGGGCGGCUGCACUCACCGGCUCCGGGUGGGUGGCACGUCGGCCCGACCCAGCACCGCUACGCAGCCCGCACAGCCGCUCCAGCUGGGGGCGGAGAUUUCCCGGCUCGGCGGCCCAUGCGGCCUCCGUCCCCUUAGGGGACGCCCCUGUAGGUGGAGGCUGCGGGGCUCCUCCCCCAAGUGGGCGUGGACUCCGGCCUGGAGGGGGUGGCGGGGUGCGCGCAGGCGCAGGGCUCAUUCCCUGGAAAGUGGGUCUAGGUCGAGGCUGCUCUUUUGUGGGUGGGCGAGGGGUUCCAUCCCGGGGGUCGCUGGAGGCAGGGCUGCAUUAGAGGGUCGCGAGUGAAAGCAGGGAUGGAAGAAGGGUGCAGGCUGGGACUAACAUUGGAGAGACGCUCUUGGAAACUUUUUUUUUUUGCGGGGGGAGAUAGUCUCGCUGUGUCACCCAGGCUGGAGUGCAGUGGCGCGAUCUCGGCUCACUGCAACCUCCGCCUCCUGGGCUUAAGCCAUUCUCCUGCCUCAGCCUCCCGAGUAGCUGGGAUUACUGGCGCCCGGCUAAUUUUUGUAUUUUUAGUAGAGACCGGGUUUCACCAUGUUGGCCAGGCUGGUCUUGAACUCCUGAUCUCAGGUGAGCCGCCCUCCUCGGCCUCCCAAAGUGGUGGGAUUACAGGCGUGAGCCACCGCACCCGGCCCUUUUGGAACAUUUCUUGUCUCAAGGAGACAGUUAUAGGGAAAAGUCAAUGGGUGUGUGAAUGGGACAGCCUGGGUGUUCCCACAAUGGCAAGCCUUUCUGUGGGUUCUGCUUGGCCUCCGAGCCUAAUGAAGUCGGGUGCAAAGGAAACAGGUGUUCAAGACUCGUGAAAUGUUGAACGGGUGGGAUUUUUUUGCUUUCUAUUAUUUGAAUUUUAUUACUUGAAUUUUUACUAUAAGCAAAUUUUGCUUAAAGUAUUUGUGUAUUAAAUUUUUUAUUUCAUAGAAUAAAAGAGAUAAAACAAUAGGCUGUUUAAAGAUA